rnacentral:rRNA from 1 species
ACGGAGGGUGCGAGCGUUGUCCGGAAUCAUUGGGCGUAAAGGGCGCGUAGGUGGCCCGGUCAGUUCGUGGUGAAAGCCCGGGGCUCAACCCCGGGUCGGCCGUCGAUACUCUCGUGCUUGAGCACUGUAGAGGCAGGUGGAAUUCCGGGUGUAGCGGUGGAAUGCGUAGAGAUCCGGAAGAACACCGGUGGCGAAGGCGGCCUGCUGGGCAGUAGCUGACACUGAGGCGCGACAGCGUGGGGAGCAAACAGGA